rnacentral:rRNA from 1 species
GCGGCGUGCUUAACACAUGCAAGUCGAACGAUGAUCCGGUGCUUGCACCGGGGAUUAGUGGCGAACGGGUGAGUAACACGUGAGUAACCUGCCCUUGACUCUGGGAUAAGCCUGGGAAACCGGGUCUAAUACCGGAUACGACCUUUCACCGCAUGGUGGUUGGUGGAAAGAUUUUUUGGUUUUGGAUGGACUCGCGGCCUAUCAGCUUGUUGGUGAGGUAAUGGCUCACCAAGGCGACGACGGGUAGCCGGCCUGAGAGGGUGACCGGCCACACUGGGACUGAGACACGGCCCAGACUCCUACGGGAGGCAGCAGUGGGGAAUAACACUGGGACUGAGACACGGCCCAGACUCCUACGGGAGGCAGCAGUGGGGAAUAUUGCACAAUGGGCGAAAGCCUGAUGCAGCGACGCCGCGUGAGGGAUGACGGCCUUCGGGUUGUAAACCUCUUUCAGCAGGGAAGAAGCGAAAGUGACGGUACCUGCAGAAGAAGCGCCGGCUAACUACGUGCCAGCAGCCGCGGUAAUACGUAGGGCGCAAGCGUUGUCCGGAAUUAUUGGGCGUAAAGAGCUCGUAGGCGGUUUGUCGCGUCUGCUGUGAAAGCCCGGGGCUCAACCCCGGGUCUGCAGUGGGUACGGGCAGACUAGAGUGCAGUAGGGGAGACUGGAAUUCCUGGUGUAGCGGUGAAAUGCGCAGAUAUCAGGAGGAACACCGAUGGCGAAGGCAGGUCUCUGGGCUGUAACUGACGCUGAGGAGCGAAAGCAUGGGGAGCGAACAGGAUUAGAUACCCUGGUAGUCCAUGCCGUAAACGUUGGGCACUAGGUGUGGGGGACAUUCCACGUUUUCCGCGCCGUAGCUAACGCAUUAAGUGCCCCGCCUGGGGAGUACGGCCGCAAGGCUAAAACUCAAAGGAAUUGACGGGGGCCCGCACAAGCGGCGGAGCAUGCGGAUUAAUUCGAUGCAACGCGAAGACCCUUACCAAGGCUUGACAUGGACCGGACCGCCGCAGAAAUGCGGUUUCCCUUCGGGGCUGGUUUACAGGUGGUGCAUGGUUGUCGUCAGCUCGUGUCGUGAGAUGUUGGGUUAAGUCCCGCAACGAGCGCAACCCUCGUUCUAUGUUGCCAGCGCGUUAUGGCGGGGACUCAUAGGAGACUGCCGGGGUCAACUCGGAGGAAGGUGGGGACGACGUCAAAUCAUCAUGCCCCUUAUGUCUUGGGCUUCACGCAUGCUACAAUGGCCGGUACAAAGGGUUGCGAUACUGUGAGGUGGAGCUAAUCCCAAAAAGCCGGUCUCAGUUCGGAUUGAGGUCUGCAACUCGACCUCAUGAAGUCGGAGUCGCUAGUAAUCGCAGAUCAGCAACGCUGCGGUGAAUACGUUCCCGGGCCUUGUACACACCGCCCGUCAAGUCACGAAAGUUGGUAACACCCGAAGCCGGUGGCCUAACCCCUUGUGGGAGGGAGCCGUCGAAGGUGG